GGGCCCGCACAAGCGGUGGAGUAUGUGGUUUAAUUCGAAGAUACGCGCAGAACCUUACCAACACUUGACAUGUUCGUCGCGACUCUAAGAGAUUAGAGUUUUCGGUUCGGCCGGACGAAACACAGGUGCUGCAUGGCUGUCGUCAGCUCGUGUCGUGAGAUGUUGGGUUAAGUCCCGCAACGAGCGCAACCCUCACUUUUAGUUGCCAUCAUUAAGUUGGGCACUCUGAAAGAACUGCCAGUGAUAAGCUGGAGGAAGGUGGGGAUGACGUCAAGUCCUCAUGGCCCUUACGUGUUGGGCUACACACGUGCUACAAUGGUAUCUACAACAGGAAGCAAGACUGCGAAGUUAAGCAAAUCCCUAAAAGAUACCUCAGUUCGGAUUGCACUCUGCAACUCGAGUGCAUGAAGCUGGAAUUACUAGUAAUCG
rnacentral:rRNA from 1 species